rnacentral:rRNA from 1 species
GACGAACGCUGGCGGCGUGCCUAAUACAUGCAAGUUGAGCGAUGAAGAUUGGUGCUUGCACCAAUUUGAAGAGCAGCGAACGGGUGAGUAACGCGUGGGGAAUCUGCCUUUGAGCGGGGGACAACAUUUGGAAAUGAAUGCUAAUACCGCAUAACAACUUUAAACAUAAGUUUUAAGUUUGAAAGAUGCAAUUGCAUCACUCAAAGAUGAUCCCGCGUUGUAUUAGCUAGUUGGUGAGGUAAAGGCUCACCAAGGCGAUGAUACAUAGCCGACCUGAGAGGGUGAUCGGCCACAUUGGGACUGAGACACGGCCCAAACUCCUACGGGAGGCAGCAGUAGGGAAUCUUCGGCAAUGGACGAAAGUCUGACCGAGCAACGCCGCGUGAGUGAAGAAGGUUUUCGGAUCGUAAAACUCUGUUGGUAGAGAAGAACGUUGGUGAGAGUGGAAAGCUCAUCAAGUGACGGUAACUACCCAGAAAGGGACGGCUAACUACGUG